AACUCGACCAAUUUAGAAAGAACCAACAGAGUAGACAUCUAAAUUAGCCUCGACAAGCACGGAAUUGAACCUAUGGUUUAGCCAUACAUCCUCACUCUGACCAAACUAAUUAAAUCAUGCUUAAAAUAAAGCACGUACGAGCACACACAAUGCAAGUUUAUACGCACGCUUCCAGCAUAUUUUGCACGCUUCUCAGACUCUCAGCAAAUAAAAUAUGUAAUGUAAUGUAAUCUAAUCUAAUCUGCCAUGCACAUCUCAACACCAUUCUACGCAACGUCCCCUGCGUCUUCAGCAUACAGACGGCCAUGUGUUUCCACCGAUUUCCAGUAGGCGAGCGUUUUCAGCCCGCAACGGACAAGUGCAAGAUCACAAAACGCCCGGAAGUCCCCUGAAAACGAUGGCACAUUUCAUAGCGUUUGGCGUCGCCUUGCCUGAAAAAGAGGACGGGGAUCGGAGACAAAUUUUACACUUGACGGAAAUUCGGGGUACUCUUCCAUGGAACACAUUGGCUGCGCCAAUGGGCAAGACUGCAACGGCGUGAUGAUCAGCAGGACCAGCUCAUUCUUGUUGGACAUCAUCUUAAGUCGUCAGCCUUGCAUUUUUUUAGCUCAAAUGGUUGGUUGUCAAAUAGGUUUAUUGGUCUCUCUUAGUCAAAUCUUUACUUCAUGUUUCUUUUUUUUCAAAGUAAAUUGUGUAAACUUUGGAAAUGGAGCGCUGAACAGAUGUUCAAACGAUGUAAUAAUUGGUCUGAUUCUACUUGUUGGUAGAUGAAGCCGGAUAUAAACUAUCGUUUAUCUAAAAAAAUCUGAUGUGACAUAAAAAAAUUUCAUCUCCAA